CCGAAGCCCGCGAACAGGAAUAUUCCAAGUUCAGACAGAAGGGGGGAGUCAGAUCGCUAUGAUCGCCAGGAACUUUACUUUUGGUGUCUAAUUUUUAUUGUUGCGCUACUUGUGCCGCCUGUUGAUGUUAAGUAGGCAGCUACAGUGGCUGAAUGAUAACAUCUUCGGGUUUUAUUUAAUGAAAUGUAUUUUAUUUCAUCGGGGUGCCUACUUCACCUACUAACACCCUAGUACUAUCCGUAGCUCCCGUUCUCCUCAGCCCGAGAAAACACAGAGUGAAGGAUCAGCAUAAAAGCCAAGAAGACUGCCGUGGUGUCGUUCUUCAUUUCUUGGAUCUCCUGUGGUACAUAUAGUAGCUGGGUGAACAGGCCAUGGCUCGGGUGGCUGAGGUCCUUCCUUCCUGUGACACCGAGCGCUGUGGAUGCCUGGAGGGCAGGCACUGUACCCUGGUGAUGUGUUCGGCUGAGCGCACCACCCUCUGGAGAGCCCUGCGGUUGCGGACGGUGCAGUUGCCAUACCAGGCGGAGAUACAGCCUGACAGGAUGCUCUCAGUGGUGCAUCUAGAUGUUUAUGGGGGUCUUAAGGGCCAAGCUGAAUUUCUUUUUCAGGUUGUCGAGGAACAUGAAGCUUUUCACCCUCUCCCCUGUGGCCCUGUCAAUGUGGAUGGAGGCGUGCCCCCUCUGCUGUCUCCUGAAGUCCACGAUCAGCGCCUUCAUUUUGUUGACAUUGUGGGAGAGGUUAUUUUUCUGGCACCACUCCGCCAGGGCCCUCACCUCCUCCAUGUAGGCUGUCUCGUCAUUUUUGUUGUUGGUAAUCAGGCCUAUCACUGUUAUGUCAUUGCAAACUUGAUGAUUGAGUUGGAGACGUGCGUGGCCAUUCAGUCAUGGAUAAACAGGGAGUACAGGAGGGGGCUGAGCACGUACCCUUGUGGGGCCCUCAUGUUGAGGAUCAGUCUCGGAUCAAUUCCAUCCUAAAUCGUGAAGUUCAGUUUAGUCAGCUAUUCCUACCCUAAACACUAACCUCUUACCCUAACUAUAACCCUUACAAGCUCCCAGCCAUCCAGGACAUAUAUGCCAGGUGGUGUCUGAGAAAGACACAAAACAUUGCCAAAAACUCAAGCCACUCGAGACAUGGACUGUUCUCCAUGCUCCCGUCCAUCUGGCGAUACUGUGCAUCAAGGAUAAGACCAACAGACUCCUAAACAGCUAACUAUAUGCUGACUCUAUGCUCUUCCACAGGUCUCUACCUACUCAGACACACACACCUUCAC